rnacentral:tRNA from 1 species
GCCUGCGUGGUGUAAUGGUAGCACACUCGGCGCGUAUUCGAGAGGUCCAGGUUCGAGUCCCAGCGAGGGCA